UUCCUCCUAGUGUGGGGCAGAACCCCUCUGAAACGAUAGAAGGAAGAAAGGAGAGAGAGACACCUUUCUAAACUUUUAAGAAAACUUCUUUUUCUAUCUAUAAGCCAGGAGAAGCAUGGAAAUGAUAUGAAUUGAUGAAAAAGGAAGAUACUGGAGCUCCUUUAAAGAAUGCUGUCACGCCAUAAGUGGAAGUACUGUGGUAGAAGAGAGACUAUAAAAUAUUGAUGGACUAUUGACCUGAGGUAGCAAAGGAAGAUAAAAGCAAAUUCUCUGAGUGCACAAAGAAGCUACCCGUCUCCAUAGUGUGGAAAAGAACUUCAAUAUUAACAUCAAUAAUGAGUUAUCGUUGUCUGAAAUACAUUUUUCUUGUUACCAUAUCAGAAUUGUAUUCAUUUCAGUUUCAGAGAAAAAAAACAUAUUUUUUUAAAUUUCAUAAUUAUGUUUUCUGUUGCAUAAGAACAGUUCACGUGGAGAGGUGCUUCGAAAUAUACAUCUUAUUAUCAUUAAAUCCUAGCCAUUGUGGCUAUCUUCAUAAGACAGUCCAACAGUUGAGCUGUUUGGGAGUUUAUUUGCUUGGUGUCUUGAUUUUAAGUUAUUAAAAAGUUGUACCUGCCCAAAUGUUGUUCAUGCCUGAAAAUAAUGUUCAUUGAACUUAAAUUUUCCCAUUCUAGGAUCCUGCACUUGGCAGCUUUGUGUUGCUAGAAAAACUCAUAUUGCCAAGAAAAUUGGAGGCAUUACAUAUUUAUGGUUUCCAACUUAAAGUAGAAUCCUAGAGUGCUCAGCAUUCCUUUUCAUGGCAUUGUAC
rnacentral:lncRNA from 1 species